AUGUGUGUUUCCAUUUCAAAAAGGGUAUUUGUAUCCAUCAUAACAAACAGGGAGUAUCCCCACCUACCUGACGGGAGUAGCAGGGAUCGUAGGUCGGUCAGUUCCUCUCAGCUCCCCCUUUUAGAGCUUCAGAUCUCCCACAGCUUCUCACAAAGGUCUGGAUGCCUCUUCAGUCCACUGGCAUGUAGCAGAUGGUUGCCCAGUUUGUGGUCUCCUCUCCUCACACUCUCAUCUCCCUAUCAAAUCAUGGCACCCCGGUCACAUGACCUCAAACAGCGUCAUGUGAUCUGGAGCAGUCUGUCCCUUUCUCAUUAAGAAAUAUUUACUGAUUCUAAACAGUGUCCAGUGGUUUAACAACCAGUUGACUUUUCUUCACUCGCUUACUUUCUUAAAUUUAAUUAGCAGUUUGUCUGUGAAACUGUCUGUUCUUUAUAACAUAUCUGUAUUUGAUUAUUACAGUGGAUAAAUAAAAUAUUACAACAUGGGAUUUCAUUUCAGAGCAGUUACAAUAUGUUUUUGCCAUACUAGACCAUAGAAGGAUCAUUUAUCAAAUCCCUCAGGAUGUUAGCAACAUCGCUUUUUGUUUAACAAAUCAAUAUUUCAUGGUCAAAAAAUUCUUCCAGCACAUAUAUGGGCAAACUUUAGAUCAGAAACAGACCAAGGCGAGCCUACAAAGUAGAGUGGACAGCAGGGCAGAAUGAGAGAUCAUAUCCCCACUAGAGUUCUGCAAACGAGGGAUGGAAAGAGAGAGAAGUAAUAUCCCUUUCACAGGGUGGAAGUUGGGCUGGGAGGGAAAUGGCAGCUCCCAGGGAAAGCCAACAACUGGCCAUCAUUCUGACCGCUUGUCCUCAUCAAUCACUCGCAUUUGUUGACCAAGCAACAUGAUGUCACUAUUCAUUUCAUGCAUUCCUCUAAUGUGGACCCAGGGGGAGUCCACUAUUCUCUGUGGGUAUUUCCUGUUCCAUUGCAUUCUGGGAUAUGUCUGUUUCCUUCAAGAAGAUAAUUUAGCUUUUGAAAAUUUGCUCUCUGUCUCUCUCUCUCUAUCUCUCUCUCUCUCCCUCCCUUCCUUUAUUUGUGUUUCCUUACUUUUUUUUCUUUCUCUAUAACUCUGGCAAUUUUCACUCUCUCUUUUUAACAAAAAAUCAAAAUGGAAAAAUAAUUUGGUGUGUUCUUCUUCUUCAAAAAAAAUAGUUUGGCUUCAUAAUCUUUAAUAAAUAUCUAGAUAAAGGAUUUAUUGAUUGAUUGAUUGAUUGAUUGAUUUUACUUAGAUGUACGUCACAAUAUGGAUGAAAAAAUGUAACAUCUUUUGUCACAUCUCAACUUUAAGUUUUAUUUACAGCAUGUUGACUAAAUGAAUUUUUGCUUUACACGUGCACAAAUUUUUUUUAACGCCAAAUCAACCCCCCCCCCCAUUUAAUAUCUUGUUUUUUCUGUAAAUACUCCACAUUUUGUAAGUAAAAUGGGUUUCAAAUGAUAAUACCUGACUACUUCACAUUGUGGGGUUUACCUAAAGCUGCUUUUCAUCCUCUUCUCUUAUUUUAGUUGUAGUCUGCAGGCUUUCAGCUGGUUUGAGCAAGACCGUCUAAUGGUUGCUGCUUAUUUGUGGAAGGAUGUGGCGUGCUGAAAUGGCCUUUUGAUCAAAUCUGACUUCUCCUGCUGUAGGCUGUGAUCAGUACUCCUGUGUCUCAUUGAAAGAAUGGUGUCAGUGUGUUGACAAGCCGCUGAUAAGUCAGUAGCUUCUAAAGAAAAAUGUUUAAAGGCAGAUAAAUGCCUAAGGACUUAAACUGUCUGUCUUUGCAUACUGAUUGUAGUUUAUUUUUAGUGAUUAUGAAAACCUGGUUUAAUAAGGCUUAGGGGAUGUUGGUUUUAGUAGUCAUACAUAAAAGGGGCCUUUGUGCGUGAUCACUGUGCACGAGUAGCGCAUGUUAUCUCCCCUGACUUUUGUGAAGCCAUAUUUACUGUCCACAUUUAUUUCUGUCACUUCCUCUGACUUUGUGCAUCUCAGGUUAAACCUGGUCAGGGUCUUCUAGUGAAUUAUUACGAUUCUUACUCCGUUCCCUCUCUCACGCGCUCACUUUCACCUCCCUCCAGCAUUAAGAGGCUUAGAGGGAGCUUAGCGCCCAGGUCAAGCUGCCCAUUGGCUUCUACAGCUCUGUUCUUUGAAGUGAUGCCAGGUUGAAGUGAACAAGCCUCUCCGCUUGCAGGUGAGCCGCCCAUGCUUUUACAGCCAAUCCUGGGUCAGCGGUGGGCAGAUGGCCCGCUCGCCUCUAUCCAUACGUUAUUAUUUUAUAGUUUGGUUCUGCAUUCCUCCCGCUCAGCCUGUGGUAGACGCAGACCCUUCUGUCUUAUUGCUUACACAUGUCUACUCCUCCUCGCCUCAGCAGGAACAGACAAAACAGAAGGGGGAGGAGGAGGAGGGAGCAGCCUGGCCAAACUUUCCCCCCACCUUGAACUAAUCGAGAAGAGGCAGGAGAGCUAUAGCAAGGCAGGCCUGUGCCAGUGGGGUUUCAAUUUGUAGAGGCAUAAACAGAUACUAAAGACAGAGUAAUGGAGGAGUGAUUUAUCAAGACAGUUCACAUCAAAUUAUCACAGCGCCCCCCUGCUGCCUGGCCCUGUAAUGGCCCUGGUGAGAGGGCAGGGCCAAUCUCAAGAGAGAAAACGUGAGAGAUGUGGCGUGGUCACAGUUCGUUACCGAGCGCCCAAACAUGUGUCCUACUCUCUGUUUCUAAUCCAACCGUGACACUCACGACCAACCCAUCUAUGGGAAAAUGAGACGUGCCUGUGAGAGAGACAGAGAGCACAAAGAACAGACGUCAUCAAGCUUCUUAAACAUUUUAAAGUGUAAUUUUCUCAACAACUAAAAAAAUCCUAUUUUAUCCUGUCUACUUAAUCAUGUCCCUGGGAAAAGUUUGACUGUACCCCUAAAAGUGUUUGGGUCAGACAUGUAAGGCAAUUCUUCUUCAAAUAAACGUAUUAUUUCUUCGCUGAGAAGUCAUGUUUCAUUUUUCCCUUUUUGCCAGAACACAGUUAUGCCUUUGAUCUUUUCCAGCAUCAGCCAACACAUGGAUAACACAUCGCUUAAAAGAUAAAGGUAAGAAAUAUGUUUUGUGAUGAUGUCAUCCGGUUGCCUGGGACUGGGGCAAGCGUCUGUCCUGGUCUGCAUUAGCGUACGUGAGUGGAUGUGAAAAUGUUGAGUUUGUAUGAGGUACUAUGUAGAUGCACCCUGGGACUACUGAUGUUUGAUCCGUAAGUGAAAUCAAUUACACAUUGUCCAAAAGUUAGAUCCUCUCUGUAGGAACUUAAUCGCAUCAGCUCCUGCUCGACAAAGUUUAAGAUUUGUCUCUUGUUCCUGUUCCUGGCAUGUGCAUCUAACUAUGUCUCUCUCUCUUUCUCUCUUGCAUUUUGAUACAUUUGUACACUCUUUACAAUUCAGCAGAGAGCCAUUCAUCAUCAUUUGACUAUGUAUCUGUCCCAUUCUGCUUUCUUUGAUCAGGCUAUGCUUAACGUCACACAUCUGCUCCUUGUUUAAAGGCCAGUAAUGCCGUAGCUCAAACGCUAUAGCUAGCAUAACCCAAGAACAGCUUUACUGGACACUGUGUUCCUCUUGUAAUUCUUUCAAGCUCUUAGCUGAAAUGGUCCAAGAAACUAAGGAGUUGGAAGCUUAGAAUGAUUUUUCCCUCCAGAUGUGUCAAUUUAAUGUUUAUUCUUCUAAAGAAUAGUACUGUUUAAAGCUACUAAGUAGCGUGGCUAAACUGAUCCAGG
ensembl:lncRNA